GACGAGCCGAGCGAACGUUGUUCGGAAUCACUGGGCUUAAAGGGCGCGUAGGCGGGUGCUCAAGUCUGUGGUGAAAUCCUCCGGCUCAACCGGAGAACGGCCAUGGAUACUGGGUGUCUCGAGGGUGAUAGGGGUAUGCGGAACUAUCGGUGGAGCGGUGAAAUGCGUUGAUAUCGAUAGGAACUCCGGUGGCGAAGGCGGCAUACUGGAUCACUUCUGACGCUGAGGCGCGAAAGCCAGGGGAGCGAACGGG
rnacentral:rRNA from 1 species